UUGGAGGGCAAGUCUGGUGCCAGCAGCCGCGGUAAUUCCAGCUCCAAUAGCGUAUAUUAAAGUUGUUGCAGUUAAAAAGCUCGUAGUUGAAUUUUGGAUUCGGCCAAUUGGUCCAUCUUUUAGAUGAGUACUGGUUGUGUUGGGUCUAUCCGCCUGGUGAUACGUAAUGUCCUUUAUUGGGUGUUGCGGGUAGUCAGGACCUUUACCUUGAAAAAAUUAGAGUGUUUAAAGCAGGCUUAUGCCGGAAUACAUUAGCAUGGAAUAAUAGAAUAGGACGAAGUUGUUUUAUUUUGUUGGUUUCUAGGACAACCGUAAUGAUUAAUAGGGAUAGUUGGGGGCAUUAGUAUUCAAUUGUCAGAGGUGAAAUUCUUGGAUUUAUUGAAGACUAACUACUGCGAAAGCAUUUGCCAAGGACGUUUUCAUUAAUCAAGAACGAAAGUUAGGGGAUCGAAGACGAUCAGAUACCGUCGUAGUCUUAACCAUAAACUAUGCCGACUAGGGAUCGGGCGAUGUUGUUUCCAUGACUCGCUCGGCACCUUAUGGGAAACCAAAGUGUUUGGGUUC
rnacentral:rRNA from 1 species